GAGCGACUGGAGAACACAUUUGGAGAAACUUGCUGAAGGCCAAAGACAAAAAGACAGAAGAAAAAAAAAUUCAGACUGCAAUUAAUUUCAGGUGGAGACAGUAAACACAGGAGGCGCCUGAUAUCAACGUGAAACGCACUGCAGUACUUCGUGCCCUUCCUGUAUACCUGCGGGAGGAGGACCCAGAAUUCUUUUAGACAU